UACGAAGGGGGCUAGCGUUGUUCGGAAUUACUGGGCGUAAAGCGCGCGCAGGCGGUUCUUUAAGUCCGGGGUGAAAGCCCAGAGCUCAACUCUGGAAUUGCCUUUGAAACUAGAGAACUUGGGUACGGGAGAGGUGAGUGGAAUUCCGAGUGUAGAGGUGAAAUUCGUAGAUAUUCGGAAGAACACCAGUGGCGAAGGCGGCUCACUGGCCCGUUACCGACGCUCAGGCGCGACAGCGUGGGGAGCAAACAGG
rnacentral:rRNA from 1 species